UACGAAGGGGGCUAGCGUUGCUCGGAAUCACUGGGCGUAAAGCGCACGUAGGCGGUUUCUUAAGUCAGGGGUGAAAUCCUGGAGCUCAACUCCAGAACUGCCUUUGAUACUGGUGAGCGUUGAGUCCGGAAGAGGUGAGUGGAACUGCGAGUGUAGAGGUGAAAUUCGUAGAUAUUCGCAAGAACACCAGUGGCGAAGGCGGCUCACUGGUCCGGUACUGACGCUGAGGUGCGAAAGCGUGGGGAGCAAACAGGG
rnacentral:rRNA from 1 species